UGUGUGUGUGUGUGUGUGUGUGUGUGUGUGUGUGUGUGUGUGUGUGUGUUGUCGUCUGCAUGUGUGUAUGUGUACCAUGUGUGUGCCUGGUGCCUUUGGAGGCCAGAAGUGGGUGUCAGAUGUCCCUGGAACUGGGGUUAUGAAUGGUUGUGGGCCACCCAAUGUGGGUGCUGAGACCAAACGUGUCCUCUACAAGAACAGCAAGUGCUCUUAAUGAAGCGCCAUCUCUCCAGCCCCAGGGCUGGUAUUUCUCAGGCCAGUCCUGUCUCUCAUCCUCUCACCCACCACCUCCAUCUGAAUUGAUACUAGAGCCACAAGCCUUUCCAGUCUGCCUGAGUGGAACCAGUUCAGACCCAGGACUUCUAAGACCCACAUCUGGAAAGCUCCAGUAGAGUGGUCUGACCAUGCUGUGGGCAUCCAGGAUGGAGGAGCUCCUGUGCAUGCUGGAGGAGGAGUGGGGUUGAGCCUGUAGCCCGUGUCCUCGUACAUCCACCCCUUCCUGGAUAUCAAAACCUAAUUCCCUGGCCUGACGUGUGCUCCAGCAAAGGGACCUCAGGAACAGCAGGUCCACCUCAGAUUGUCCCGAGCCUGGAGGAAGUAGGGCAGGAGGCACUGAGGGCUGUGCACAAAUCCAGGCCCCACCAGGAAAAUUUCACCAAGCUUCCAUCUUUCUGUGGAUGAGGGGGAGUCCUUGCAGAUGUGCCAGGAUGUUAGGAGAGAGAAUGCCGUUAUCCUCAUCUUCAAGUAAAAAGAUGAAUCUGAGAAGGGAUUCUGAUGGCCCCUCACAGAGACUAGCCAACAAAGAUGAGGCUAGGCUUGGAGCCUAAACAUUCAGCACUAGCCUCUGCUAAUGACUGAAGGGACCCCCAACAUAGACCGUCUUCCCCAUCAUUGAGGCACAAUUGUUUCUUCCUACUCCAUCAGGUUCCCAAUCUUUCAGUAACUUCAGUAACGGGGGGAGGACAAAAGAGCCCUCCAUGUCCUGAACUCGGGUUGGGUGGCUCCCAGAUGGCCCCUAGUCUAGGAGGCUGUCCACUCAAGACAGGGCUUUGGGCAAGGAUCUGCAUCCCAGGCACCAGGGAAAUGAGAGGAGUUGUAGAGAUCCCCACUGAGCCAGAGAUGUUUUUCUCAGGACAUACCCUUCUUGAUACAUUUUCCCAGCAUCACCGGGUCCUGAUGAGCUGCCAUCGAUGGAAACCCCCAUUCCCAAGCAGGCCCACAGUGGAAGGGCCAUCGUUACAGUUACUGUCCAUAUCGUAGUCAGUGAAAACACCCAGGCCACCCAGGCUUUUGACUUGGCUCCUCUACCUUGGUAGAAACACCUCAAGCUUCACACACACUCCUGUGCACCCCAGAUGGGGUUCCACAGCCACAAUCCCGGGACCAGCAGAGGACAAGGCAGAGAGCAGCCAGCCUGUGUGUAAGGCUCUGUCCCUUUGUGCCCAGGAAUAGGGCUCCAAGGCUAGACUGGGAGAUGAAGAGGGGCAGGCCAUCAGCAGAGAGCAGUGGCCACCAGACUCCCCGAGGUGUCUCGUCCCCACCCUAGCUCUCCUCUCUGGGGUCUUCAUUGCUGGUUUCAGCUCCAAUGAUCAACACCGUACACUGCUCUCACCAGACAGCAGCAUGUCCUGUGAAGGGGGCCUAGCUGCCACCAGCAGAUACGAUAGCAGUGUCACCCACAGGGUGCCUGGCCUGGCAGCUGGAGGAGAGACAGAAAACCAGCCUUGGGCCCAUGGAAGCAGUGGUGGCAAGCCACUUUUUCUUCCUCCUUCUUUCUCUAAAGUGUGCCACUUAAACACACUGAGAGGCACCUGGAAGUCAGUCCUGCCCAGCUGCUGUACCCCAGCUGGUCCCCUUACUAUAGGUCACCCCACCCGACUGGUGCCACAUCCCAAUCCAAACCUCAGCUCACAGGCCAUCUGACAGUUCCCUUGAUGGGUCACCUGCAAUGCUGAGUCUAUCCAGGCCCCAUCCCUCUCUCCCGUAUUGGGGUGGGGCACUUCCCAAGCCCUGUCCUCCCCUUACUGCUGGGGUCCCCCCCCAACAGGUGUCAUCCAGCUCCUUCUCUCUUCCCUCUCUCUCCAAAGAAAGGGACUCUGCCACUGCCCAGGUGCCAUGCUGAACACAAGUCCAGCUUUCCCCACCUGAGUCCCAGCUCCUGGAAUGUGCCUCAGUCUUUCAGUGCCUCAGUCUUUCAGGCUGCUCUUCAAGCCGCAUCCAUGUUCCCAGCUCCUCCCUUCCAGCCACCAAGUCCAGGUCCCAUCUCACUUCAGGUCCCUUUCUCCACCCAACUGCAGUUCUUCCUUGAUCUACCAUCUGCUCCCCUGCCUUUCCUCUGCUGCAUCCAUUGGCUACUGUGGCUCCUUCCCUGGCCUUGGUCUUCAGUCUUGCUGCCCCGAGCCUUGCUGCUUCCCCCCGCCCCAGCUCGCCCCCACCACUCACUCCCACCCCUAGCUCGAUUGACUGUGUGCCUCAGUUUGCUAUCCUCACUCCUUGGCCAGUCCUGGUCAUCUGGCUUGCCUCCCCCUGCUAUCUAACCUGCCAGCCAGCUCCCUCCUUGAGGCUGCCUCCUUCCUAAGCCUGGAGCACUCGCGCAUCCUGCCCAGAGCCAGUCACAUGCCCCUUUAGUCCCCAUGUGUAGCUCUCAUUUCCUGUCCUCCCCUGUGGGUUCGACCUCUCAUAUUAUCCUGCCAUGUGACCCUGUAAGCCCCUCGAUACUCUUGACCCACCCAUACCCAUGCUGUGUCCUGGGGAUACAGAAGGGAACAGACCGGGCUCCAUCCUUAAGGAGCAAGCUGACGGUGGCAAUGGGUCCUUAAUGUGCAAGCAGGUAGCCGGUGAUGAGGGAAUGGAGGCAAGGAACACCCAGGGUCGGCUUUCCAGCACUUCUAUACCUCAACUUGAACCCUCCCCUUUAGCCUAGAGACCCAGCUCUUUUAUAGAGGGUAAACUAAGCUUCAGAAAUGUUAAGGGGCUGCCAGGGCUCAGAAAAAACAGCAAGGAAGCAGAGAUGUAGUUGAGACCCAACUCUGCAUGGCCACGAGUUUCAAUUCUUCCAACUUAGAUGGGCUCACAGAUUGCAUAGGGUCCAUCACACACACACACACACACACACACACACACACACACACACACACACACACACACACACUUCUUCAGACCUUAGGAAAGGGGCAAAUCUUUUAGCCAUCCCAGCCUCUGGAAGCUGGAGCUAGCAAAGAUCACUGCACAGGUGACCUCGGGCCAGGCUCUUCCCUCUCAGAGCCUCAAUUUUUCUCACCUGAAUGGGGCAGAAUAAGCUCUGACUGGCCCUUCCUCUCAUCACCCGUGGCUUUCUCUGACCACGGCCAGCUUCUCUCCAUUCUAUCACCUUAAUCUAGCUUCAGUAUGGCAAUCCUGUCCACCUAAGACUAAUUGCUGGUUUGUGUUCAUGCUUCCCGCUCAAGCCCUGUUAGAAGGCGUUCAUACAGGAACAGGGGCCUUCUCUGGGUUUGGGUCUUACUCAUUACCAAAUCUCCAGCCCUCCAAACAUCCUAACAUGCCUGAAGUUGGAAAUAUUUGUUAAAUUAACCGGUACACAGUGGUUUACAAAUUUCACACAGUAUACACGGGCAUAAAGAAGAGAGCAUUUUAUUUUGUAUAAACGCCCUCCUGCAGCACACAGUUGGGUGUAGUCAAACCUGAACUUAUACUGGGGGAUAGUGUGUCCCCCCAUUUCACUAGUGUCAUUCAGACAGCUUAGUUUCCUGUGGCUAGACACUGUGGCAUCAUUCCAAGGGCCACUCCCCUCUCGAAGGCACCAACCUGAGCCACUGAGCAGGUAACGGUAGUCAUGGAUACACAGCAGCUGGCCUUAGGCUGGAGGGUUUUCCUCAGUGGUCUCCAUUCUCUGCUGCAGAAGGGCCAGCUUGGCUGCUUCGUGGGAUGAUCAGGCUAUGUCUGGCUCUUCUAGCCCUUGGGGUCACUAGCUGACCCCCAAUGUUCAUACUAUAAAUGUCCUCCUGAUGUGUCUUAUUUUCUUAGCCCCCAGCCCUUUGGGGAUUUUGGCCUCUGAUCAGGCACUGGGCCAAAGAGCUGUAGACACUUCCAGGACUCCCAGGCACACGUCUGGCUUUGCAACUCCACAGCCUCUUGAGGAAAGAUACAGACAUAUGCCCUGGCUUCCAGGCCCUCCCUACUUCCUCUUCCUUUGGCUGGCCAUCCACCAGGGUCCAGAAGAGGUGGGCUCUCUGCUCUCAGCCUGUCCAACCAGAGCUUUCCCCACAUACUGGUCUCCUCCUGCCCACCAUCCACAGAAGAGACUGAGUCGUGCUGUUUCCUGGAGAGGAUAAAAAAAACAUAUGCAGUUAUUAUUUUCAAAAUAUUAUCCCCAUUACAAACACUGUGCUGCACUCACGCCACGUGACUCCAAAUGCUGGCAGAGCAUGCCAUGUGGAGGAGGAUUCCCCAGUUGCUCAUUCAGACUUGGAAUCGUGGGGAGCCUUGAGUCAGCACAUGGAGCUCGGCAGCGUGGGAACAGCACACUGAGGAACGGGAGCCAAGUGCCCAUCGCAAGCUGUGAUUGCUCUUCAGCAAAACAGCAGCUGUCGCCAGCAUUACAGACUGAAGAGUAUGUGGUGCCAUACAGACCCGGGAUGGGGCAGGUCCCAGAAGAGCUCAUCCUGGUCUUACUAGCAGGCUUUCUCGGUGCUGAAGAUGGACAGCAACUCUUCGUGUACUUUUUAUAGGGUUGGGGCACUGUCACCUCCAUUCUACAGCUAACGGAGCGGAAGCUUAGGCAUCUCACCUAUGGUCAGAAGGCAGGAGAACAUGCAGGUCCUGAACCCAAGCCAGCUGUAAAGCCCAUGUCCGCACGAUCCCCUCGGAUCACCAUUGAAGCCCAGCUCAUGCCCCACAGGUUGAAGACCCCCAUACUCUGCUAUCUGCCAAGUACUCCUACCCCAUCUGUCUCCAGCUCUGCAAUUCCCCCUCCCCUGGAAAGUGUGACUGUCCUCACCUGGAAAGUGCAACCAUCCUGUCCUUCAGCUUGAUGAUCCACGAUUCCUCUCUUUUCUAAGUGGCCACUUGAAGGGGUGGAAAUCAAGGUGGCAGCCAGACAGCCCCAGGAGGUACCCUUCUCCACUGGCCCACAAGGACCUGUCUAGGCUGUGUAAUUAAAAAGCCAUUUGUUCCUGAAACAACCAAAGACUCAAGUCACAUGUGCACCUUGCAGAGUGCAGCUUGUGCCCGGGGCUCACCUCGGCAUACCCACCUGACCUCAGCUUCCCUAUGGAAGAAUUCAGCAUGGUGUGGGGUCGUUGGCAUCCCAGAGCUCACAGCAGAGGAGUGAAGCCAGCCAAGAACAGGAGGGCCAAUGUGACGCAAAGAGCACGGUCUCAAGCCCUGCUCUGGCCUUUGCCCUUUGUCCCUGCUGGCCAAGGGACUCUUGGGACCUAUAAGCUAGAGUUCAGUCUAAGCCGAAGGUAGUAAACCCAGAGCCUGCAAGGCAAGCAGGUAAACAAGGGAAGGUUGCCAGGCCAGGGACUGGCUCAAAGACCACGGGAUUUCUGUUCAGAGGCUGAGGUAUUGGUUCUGACCCUGAGGCCAGAUCAGUGGUGGGAGCUAGACCAUGUGAGGCCAGAUCAGUGGUGGGAGCUAGACCAUGCUGGAGACCACAUGAUCUUCAACCACAGGUACUCCAAUCAAAAGAAGGAAUAAAAUUGCAAGCUCCCCACACAAAAGGCACUAUGACAAGGUCAGCCAGCAAGCUGUCCACUGGUGCCUUUGUGUCUAAAUAGUUCUAAAUUGUCUUGCAGGUCAGAUGAGUAGCAAAGGACCUUCCUAGUGUCUAGCUGCUAGUUUCUGUAACGCACACGACAGAGGCUGCAGGAGGCAGACACUUGCUGCUACCUCACUGAGGGACUCCUGCAAAGAGCCUCCUUUUCUUGUCUCUUAUGUAAGGCUCAUAGUUAAGGGAUUAGGGGUGCCUAUUUCCCAUCGUCGUGACGGUCAGAUGACAUCAUUACAUCAAAAGCAUGUGACAUGUAGUAAGCCCUUGCCACUGCUAUCUGUGGCUGUAAUUAAUUCGGGGCAGGUCUUUUCAGAACUGAGUGAAUCCCAUUCAGUAGAUUCCAAACUGAAGAGCUCAUCACUGCAACCUUCAGUGUGUACAAGUUUAUUCUUUUCCUUAUUAUUAAUUUUGUGGCACGAGGGAUUGAACCCAGGGCCUUGCAUACACUAGGCAGACAUUCUACGAUCAACCUACACCCCAAGUCCUUUUUAAUUUUUAUUUAGAGACAGGGUUUAAGUUACCCAGGCUGGCCUUGAACUUGUGAUUCUCCCGCCUCAACUUCUCCUAUAGACAAAUUCAUUCUUUUAUAUAAUAUAUAUAUAUAUAUAUAUAUAUAUAUAUAUAUAUAUAUAUAUAUAUA